GACGAACGCUGGCGGCGUGCCUAAUACAUGCAAGUCGAGCGAGACUCUUCGGAGUCUAGCGGCGGACGGGUGAGUAACACGUGGGCAACCUGCCUGUAAGACUGGGAUAACACCGGGAAACCGGUGCUAAUACCGGAUAAUCCUUUUUCUCUCAUGAGGAAAAGCUGAAAGUCGGUUUCGGCUGACACUUACAGAUGGGCCCGCGGCGCAUUAGCUAGUUGGUGAGGUAACGGCUCACCAAGGCGACGAUGCGUAGCCGACCUGAGAGGGUGAACGGCCACACUGGGACUGAGACACGGCCCAGACUCCUACGGGAGGCAGCAGUAGGGAAUCUUCCACAAUGGACGAAAGUCUGAUGGAGCAACGCCGCGUGAGCGAUGAAGGCCUUCGGGUCGUAAAGCUCUGUUGUUAGGGAAGAACAAGUACCGGAGUAACUGCCGGUACCUUGACGGUACCUAACCAGAAAGCCACGGCUAACUACGUGCCAGCCGCCGCAGUAACAC
rnacentral:rRNA from 1 species